rnacentral:rRNA from 1 species
AAUGAACGUUGGCGGCGUGGAUUAGGCAUGCAAGUCGAGCGAGAACCCAGCAAUGGGGGACAGCGGCGAAAGGGACAGUAAUGUGUAGAUUAUCUGCCCUCGGGUCCGGGAUAGCUGCGGGAAACUGCAGGUAAUACCGGAUAACAUCUCCGGAUCAAAGGUGUGAUUCCGCCCGAGGAUGAGUCUGCAUCCUAUUAGCUUGUUGGUGGGGUAAUGGCCUACCAAGGCUUUGAUGGGUAGCGGGUGUGAGAGCACGACCCGCGUCAUUGGGACUGAGACACUGCCCAGACACCUACGGGUGGCUGCAGUCGAGAAUCUUCGGCAAUGGGCGCAAGCCUGACCGAGCGACGCCGCGUGUGGGAUGAAGGCCUGGUGUAACACUGUCAGAGGGAGUGAAAUGCAGGUGGGUUCGUCCCUACUUGUUUGUACAUAGCCUCAGAGGAAGGACGGG